rnacentral:rRNA from 1 species
UACAGAGGUCUCAAGCGUUGUUCGGAUUCAUUGGGCGUAAAGGGUGCGUAGGCGGGUCUUUAAGUCAGGGGCGAAAUCCUGGAGCUCAACUCCAGAACUGCCUUUGAUACUGAACAUCUUGAGUUCGGGAGAGGUGAGUGGAACUGCGAGUGUAGAGGUGAAAUUCGUAGAUAUUCGCAAGAACACCAGUGGCGAAGGCGGCUCACUGGUCCGGUACUGACGCUGAGGUGCGAAAGCGUGGGGAGCAAACAGG